rnacentral:rRNA from 1 species
GCACGGAGUUAGCCGGAGCUUAUUCUCCAGGUACUGUCAUUAUCAUCCCUGGUAAAAGAGCUUUACAACCCUAAGGCCUUCAUCACUCACGCGGCAUUGCUGGAUCAGGCUUUCGCCCAUUGUCCAAUAUUCCCCA